rnacentral:lncRNA from 1 species
CACUCAACCGGGCCUAUGCUUCCCAACUUCAACAAAUGUGCCCCAGGAAUGUAGACCCCAGGAUAGCAAUCAACAUGGACCCAAACACACCCACGAAAUUUGACAAUGUCUACUACCAGAACCUGCAGCAAGGCAAGGGUAUGUUCACCUCAGACCAGGUUCUAUUCACGGACCAAAGGUCUAAGCCUACUGUGAACGCCUGGGCCACCAACUCGCAGGCUUUUCAGCAAGCCUUUGUUACUGCCAUUACGAAGCUGGGCCGGGUAGGUGUCAAGACUGGGAAGAACGGGAACAUACGUAGAAAUUGCGCUGCCUUUAACUGAGGAAGUUCCUCAAAGGUUCUUGACAGAGGUUCUGGAAC